rnacentral:SRP_RNA from 1 species
UCCAGGCGCGGUGGUGGGUGCUUGUAGUCUCAGCUACUCUGGAGGCUGAGGCAGGAGGAUUGCUUGAGCACAGGAGGUCGAGGCUGCAAUGAGCUGUGAUCAUGCCACUGCACUCUCGCCUGGGCAACAGAGCAAGAUCCUGUCUCUA